rnacentral:rRNA from 1 species
AAUCUUGCGCAAUGGAGGGAACUCUGACGCAGCGACGCCGCGUGAGUGAUGAAGGUCUUCGGAUCGUAAAGCUCUGUCCUUGGGGAAGAAGAUCGCCUUUUCGGCUACUUGACGGUACCCUUGGAGGAAGCCCCCGCUCACUUCGUUCCAGCAGCCGCGGUAAUACGUAGGGGGAAAGCGUUGUCCGGAAUUAUUGGGCUUAAAGGGUGCGUAGGCGGCCUUUUAAGUCAAGUGUGAAAGCCAACGGCUUAACCGUGGGAUUGCAUUUGAAACUGGAAGGCUUGAGUAACGAAGAGGGUAGUGGAAUUCCCAGUGUAGCGGUGAAAUGAGUAGAUAUUGGGAGGAACACCAGUGGCGAAGGCGACUACCUGGGCGAUAACUGACGCUGAUGCACGAAAGCUAGGGGAGCAAACA